UGUUCUACUCGCCAAACCUGUAACUUUAACAGAGGGUGACAGGGUGACCUUGACGACAGAUGUUCUUAUGGCAACAGAUGGCACGAGCAAACCCGAGAAGCUGCUGUACGCUGUCUCCGUGCCACCUGUGCAUGGUCAGAUUGAGCACAUCAAUUAUCCCGGCGUGCCCAUUUCCAGUUAGAGCCAGUUGGAUGUGGUGGCCCAGAAGGUCUGCGAUGUUCAUGACAAUAGCCAUGAGGCUAGUAAGGAUUCAUUCAGUCUAUUUUCAGAAAGAAACUCAAGUCAGCUGAAUGCUUGAAGGAACAUGACCUGAGAUGUGCAGGAAUUAGAAUAGUUGAACAGUUUCUGGGUUUAAUUCUGAAGAGUCUAGCUGGCUGCCUUCCUUUUUGCCAAUAGCUUAUUACUCAUCCCUGAACUCUUUUCUCCCCGGCUGUUGCAAGAGCUGCUUUUCAUUAGCACCUGGAGGCUCCUGCCUGCUGCAGCGUUGUAGGUGGAGGAACAAGACAAAUCAUCUCCAAAACUCCUGAAGAAAAGCCCAAUCACCGUGCAGAACCUGGGAGAUGGAUGGCCUGCCGUGCCAGUAACUGCUUGUCUUCU